GUCUCCUCUCCUUCCUGUCCCUUUCUCCCUCCCACGCCACCGCCUUCCGCUUCCCCUUCUUGGCUCGCGGUCGCUGGCGUUCCCUGCUCCAAGCCUUCUAGGCUCCACGAUGGGCCUUCGUGGGCUGAUUCAGAAAGCUAAAGAUGGAGGCUUGGAUGUCAUUCAGACCUACGCCUGGAAAUGGAAUUGGAAAAUGGAAGAGCAGCUGGCUGGAGAGGGCAAGAACUCUUGAAGAGCAACUGAAUAUAUUUAUCUCUAAAGAAAAUCCGGUGUGGCCCUUUAAUCCCCAAGAUUCAAAUGGAGUAUAACUUAAAUGGUCCACAUAACCAUUGAAUAUGGACCACCAAGCAAGUAUUCUAGCACUUUCCAGAAUCUGUUGUCUCAAAAAAUGGUAGCAAUGGUGCUCUAUCAGCCAUGAACCCCAAACGCUUAAUGUAGCAUGUGCUUAGACAUAAGUCUUGAUGGUUGGAUUAUGGUCCACCUACCAUUUAUGUAACCUGAUUGUAUACAAUGGUUUACUGUAUGUGUCAUUAUAUUCUAUAUACUAUUCAAUAUGUCU